GUACCAUGGGCCCCUUCCUUCGCUACCUCGCUGCAGGGUCAGUCGCAGCAUGGGUGCAAGGUGCGGUCUACGGGGCCCCCGCAACCGGCUUCUCCGUGCUGCAAUCAGCAGGAGCGAAGAGCGCGUGGGCCUUCCUGUGAUGGUCAAUCCGCUCGUCAUGGUCCACGGCGGCAUAACCAGCACAGCGGCGGUCUGGCCCAUCGUGAUUUGGUUCUUGC
rnacentral:misc_RNA from 1 species